UACUACUCGCAUGAUGAUUCCAUAGUUCAACUGAAAUAAUAUUGAUGAGCAAUAUCUUUCGCUCCUAUCUGAUAUUCUUA